AGAGUUUGAUCAUGGCUCAGAACGAACGCUGGCGGCGUGGAUAAGACAUGCAAGUCGAACGGGACCAGGUUUGUAGUAAUACCGACUUGGUUCAGUGGCGCACGGGUGCGUAACACGUGAGCAAUCUGCCGGGAAGUGGGGGAUAGCUCGCCGAAAGGCGAAUUAAUACCGCAUGUGGCCAUCCUUCGAGUGGAGGAAAAGCCAAAGCAGCAAUGCGCUUCCUGAUGAGCUCGCGGCCUAUCAGCUCGAUGGUGGGGUAAUGGCCCACCAUGGCUUUGACGGGUAGCUGGUCUGAGAGGACGACCAGCCACACUGGAACUGAGAUACGGUCCAGACACCUACGGGUGGCAGCAGUCGAGAAUUUUUCACAAUGGGGGCAACCCUGAUGGAGCGACGCCGCGUGGAGGAUGAAGGCCUUCGGGUUGUAAACUCCUGUCAUGCGGGAACAAGCAAGUGAUAGUACCGCAAGAGGAAGAGACGGCUAACUCUGUGCCAGCAGCCGCGGUAAUACAGAGGUCUCAAGCGUUGUUCGGAUUCAUUGGGCGUAAAGGGUGCGUAGGUGGUAGCGCAAGUCUGGUGUGAAAUCUCGGAGCUCAACUCCGAAAUUGCACCGGAUACUGCGUGACUCGAGGACUGUAGAGGAGAUCGGAAUUCACGGUGUAGCAGUGAAAUGCGUAGAUAUCGUGAGGAAGACCAGUUGCGAAGGCGGAUCUCUGGGCAGUUCCUGACACUGAGGCACGAAAGGCCAGGGGAGCAAACGGGAUUAGAUACCCCGGUAGUCCUGGCAGUAAACGGUGCACGUUUGGUGUGGGCGGGUUCAGACCCCGUCCGUGCCGGAGCUAACGCGUUAAACGUGCCGCCUGGGAAGUACGGUCGCAAGAUU
rnacentral:rRNA from 1 species